AGAGUGAACGCUGGCGGCAGGCCUAACACAUGCAAGUCGAACGGCAGCACAGGGGAGCUUGCUCCCUGGGUGGCGAGUGGCGGACGGGUGAGGAAUACAUCGGAAUCUACCCAGUCGUGGGGGGAUAACCUCGGGAAACCGGGACUAAUACCGCAUACGACCCACGGGUGAAGCGGAGGACCGCAAGGCUUCGCGCGAUUGGAUGAGCCGAUGUCGGAUUAGCUUGUUGGCGGGGUAAUGGCCCACCAAGGCGACGAUCCGUAGUUGUCUGAGAGGAUGAUCAGCCACACUGGAACUGAGACACGGCCAGACUCCUACGGGAGGCAGCAGUGGGGAAUAUUGGACAAUGGGCGACAAGGCCCUGAUCAGCACUGCCGCGUGAGUAGAAGAAGGCCCUCGGUUGAAAGUCUCUUUUGUAGGGUAAGAAAAGACAAUACGGUUAAGUAACCCGGUUGUUACGUCGACGUAACCCAAAG
rnacentral:rRNA from 1 species